CCUACGGGUGGCAGCAGUGGGGAAUAUUGGACAAUGGGCGAAAGCCUGAUCCAGCCAUGCCGCGUGUGUGAAGAAGGCCUUCGGGUUGUAAAGCACUUUCAGUGGGGAAGAAAGCCUUGGGGCUAAUACCCUCGAGGAAGGACAUCACCCACAGAAGAAGCACCGGCUAACUCCGUGCCAGCAGCCGCGGUAAUACGGAGGGUGCGAGCGUUAAUCGGAAUUACUGGGCGUAAAGCGCGCGUAGGCGGUCUGAUAAGCCGGUUGUGAAAGCCCCGGACUCAACCUGGGAACGGCGUCCGGAACUGUCAGGCUAGAGUGCAGGAGAGGAAGGUAGAAUUCCCGGUGUAGCGGUGAAAUGCGUAGAGAUCGGGAGGAAUACCAGUGGCGAAGGCGGCCUUCUGGACUGACACUGACGCUGAGGUGCGAAAGCGUGGGUAGCAAACAGGAUUAGAUACCCUAGUAGUC
rnacentral:rRNA from 1 species